GACGAACGCUGGCGGCGUGCUUAACACACGCAAGUCGAACGGUAAGGCCCUUCGGGGUACACGAGUGGCGAACGGGUGAGUAACACGUGGGUGAUCCGCCCUGCACUUCGGGAUAAGCCUGGGAAACUGGGUCUAAUACCGGAUAGGACCACUGCCUGCAUGGGUGGUGGUGGAAAGCUUUUGCGGUGUGGGAUGGGCCCGCGGCCUAUCAGCUUGUUGGUGGGGUGAUGGCCUACCAAGGCGACGACGGGUAGCCGGCCUGAGAGGGUGACCGGCCACACUAGGCCUGGGAUACGGCCCAGACUCCUCCGGGAGGCAGCAGUGGGGAAUAUUGCACAAUGGGGGCAAGCCUGAAGCAGCGACGCCGCGUGAGGGGUGACGGCCUUCGGGUUGUAAACCUCUUGCAGCACCGGGGAAGCACAGGUGACGGUAGGUGCAGAAGAAGAACCGGCGAACUACGUGCCAGCAGCCGCGGUAA
rnacentral:rRNA from 1 species